rfam:Saprolegnia diclina VS20 unplaced genomic scaffold supercont1.36, whole genome shotgun sequence.
CAUCUGGUGUUUCUAAACACCACCCAUCCCUCUAAGAAAGAGCUCU